GACGUAGGGCGCGAGCGUUGUCCGGAUUUAUUGGGCGUAAAGAGCUCGUAGGCGGCUUGUCGCGUCGACUGUGAAAUCCCGCGGCUCAACUGCGGGUCUGCAGUCGAUACGGGCAGGCUAGAGUUCGGUAGGGGAGACUGGAAUUCCUGGUGUAGCGGUAAAAUGCGCAGAUAUCAGGAGGAACACCGGUGGCGAAGGCGGGUCUCUGGGCCGAUACUGACGCUGAGGAGCGAAAGCGUGGGGAGCGAACAGG
rnacentral:rRNA from 1 species